UAUUCAUAAGAAUUGUCGAACUUUCGAUAUUUUUAUUAUGGUACAAUUACUUUUAUAGAACUGCUCACUUAGAAUGAUUAUGUUGUAAUUAAUUUCUAAUAGAAUUUAUUAAAUAUUAUGUUUAUAGAACAGUAGAAUUAAUAGAUAAUGCAGUAUAAAGUAAUUGCAGUAAAUUGUAUAAAUACUAAAAUUUACCAAACUUACCGUUUGCAAUAAAAUUUUGCAGUAUAAUAUAGAAUUUCUUAAACAUUAUUUCAAUGGUAGAUUAGUAAAUUGCGGAUAUUUAUUCUGAAUUGUUCGCCAUUUUAUAAUAUGUAGUGCUAAAUUGUUAAAACCGACAAUUUCUAACUUUUAAUCAGCAUCAGUACGUGGAAGUCGCAAUUUGGAAUCGAGUCAUUGAAAUGUUGUUUCGAUUCACAGCAAAACGGAUAACGAUCAGGUAGAAUGAGGGGUCUGGACGUUCACGGCCCCUCAUCCUGAAGAGAGUCGACGCGAGUAGUUUUCAUUAGGACUCGAAUUGGCCUCGGAGAAGCGUGGUUUGGUUGGAUCUUGCACGGAGGGCCGUCUAAGUAUAUCCAUGUUAUUUCUGGCGGGAGCUGACGCACUGUUUCUCUCCUCAUCGCCUCUCUCUUCUCUAUUCGCGUCUUCCAAAGAAUUAUUCUCGUUGUUCAUUGCCACGGUGCUUGAUGAUUUUCGAAGAAACUGAAGUUGC